rnacentral:rRNA from 1 species
UACGUAGGGCGCGAGCGUUGUCCGGAUUUAUUGGGCGUAAAGAGCUCGUAGGCGGCUUGUCGCGUCGACUGUGAAAACCCGCGGCUCAACUGCGGGCCUGCAGCCGAUACGGGCAGGCUAGAGUUCGGUAGGGGAGACUGGAAUUCCUGGUGUAGCGGUGAAAUGCGUAGAUAUUUGGAGGAACACCGGUGGCGAAAGCGACUUUCUGGGCCAUUUCUGACGCUGAGGAACGAAAGCGUGGGGAGCAAACAGG